AGUUGCUAACUGGCUGUUCUCAGUGCAGGGAAUGCCCUGAAGUAUGUUUAACCUGAGAGCUCUUAAUAAAUAUUUGUUCAUUAACGGACUAGUUAAAAUAAAUUGCUUGUGAAGUCUUUUUAAUUUAAAAUUAGCUUCAAGGAAGUAAUCCAUGGUUUUCCCCCCAUUCAGGUUAAUAAAGCAUACAAAACAGCUGCUAGAAGAAAAUGAAGAGAAGCUCUGCAUUAAGGUCCUACAGACCCUGAGGGAAAUGAUGACCAAAGAUAGAGGCUAUGGAGAAAAGCUAAUUUCCAUUGAUGAAUUGGAUAAUGCUGAGCUUCCUCCAGCUCCGGAUUCUGAGAACGCCACCGAGGAGCUUGAACCAAGUCCACCCCUGCGGCAGCUGGAAGACCAUAAAAGGGGUGAGGCGCUCAGGCAAAUUCUGGUCAACCGUUACUAUGGAAACAUCAGACCUUCGGGAAGAAGAGAGAGCCUUACCAGCUUUGGCAAUGGCCCACUGUCACCAGGAGGACCGAGCAAGCCCGGGGGAGGAGGGGGAGGUUCCGGAUCCAGCUCUAUGAGCAGGGGUGAGAUGAGUCUG
rnacentral:sRNA from 1 species